UGGGGAAUUUUGGACAAUGGGCGCAAGCCUGAUCCAGCCAUGCCGCGUGCGGGAAGAAGGCCUUCGGGUUGUAAACCGCUUUUGUCAGGGAAGAAAUCUUCUGAGUUAAUACCUCGGGAGGAUGACGGUACCUGAAGAAUAAGCACCGGCUAACUACGUGCCAGCAGCCGCGGUAAUACGUAGGGUGCAAGCGUUAAUCGGAAUACUGGGCGUAAAGCGUGCGCAGGCGGUUUUGUAAGACAGAGGUGAAAUCCCCGGGCUCAACCUGGGAACUGCCUUUGUGACUGCAAGGCUUGAGUGCGGCAGAGGGGGGAUGGAAUUCCGCGUGUAGCAGUGAAAUGCGUAGAUAUGCGGAGGAACACCGAUGGCGAAGGCAAUCCCCUGGGCCUGCACUGACGCUCAUGCACGAAACGUGGGGAGCAAACAGGAUUAGAUACCCUGGUAGUCC
rnacentral:rRNA from 1 species